UACAGAGGGGGCAAGCGUUGUUCGGAAUUACUGGGCGUAAAGGGCGCGUAGGCGGCCCGCUAAGUCGAACGUGAAAUCCCCAGGCUCAACCUGGGAACUGCGUCCGAUACUGGCAGGCUUGAAUCCGGGAGAGGGAUGUGGAAUUCCAGGUAUAGCGGUGAAAUGCGUAGAUAUCUGGAGGAACACCGGUGGCGAAGGCGGCAUCCUGGACCGGUAUUGACGCUGAGGCGCGAAAGCUAGGGGAGCAAACGGG
rnacentral:rRNA from 1 species